CCCAGGCCGCGCAUGCGGGGAAAGGGGCGGGCGGGGGCGGCAACCGUCUCGUCGGGAGCCCGCCUCGCGCUGCUGACGUCAGCGAGCCGGUGGCUUGGGCGGGGCGCUGGCUGAGUGUCAUUUCCUGUGUCGCCUUGAACACCAGCAUGCAGAUCUCUGUUCCUGCCUGAGCUCAUAUUCCAGAGACAUUUCCGCAUCGCUGCUAUAACUGGGAAGAUGCCGGGCUCCUUGAGCUCAGCUCGGUUCCGAGACUGCCUCACCCCUCACCAGCGAAGCUCGGCCACUACAGCGGAAGGUGCUGCUCGUGGCGGGAAGCCCCUCAGGGGGUAGCUGUGCGCGCGCGUCCUUCCUGCCGUACCACAGAGAAGCUGCUCCCCGCUG